rnacentral:rRNA from 1 species
UCAGGCCUAACACAUGCAAGUCGAACGGCAGCGCGGGUGCUUGCACCUGGCGGCGAGUGGCGAACGGGUGAGUAAUACAUCGGAACGUGCCCUAGAGUGGGGGAUAACUAGUCGAAAGAUUAGCUAAUACCGCAUACGAUCUACGGAUGAAAGUGGGGGACCGCAAGGCCUCAUGCUCCUGGAGCGGCCGAUGUCUGAUUAGCUAGUUGGUGGGGUAAAAGCCUACCAAGGCGACGAUCAGUAGCUGGUCUGAGAGGACGACCAGCCACACUGGGACUGAGACACGGCCCAGACUCCUACGGGAGGCAGCAGUGGGGAAUUUUGGACAAUGGGGGCAACCCUGAUCCAGCAAGGCCGCGUGUGUGAAGAAGGCCUUCGGGUUGUAAAGCAAAUGGUCGGGAACGAAACGGUGGGGGCUAAUAUCCUCUG